rnacentral:lncRNA from 1 species
GUAAAUAUAACUUCCUUCAACCCCUCACCCCGAAGCUCCCAAUUUUUAGUUAUAUAUUACUUUUUCAUCCUCACAUUAUUGAAUGGCACAUUUAGCUCCCAUUUGCUUGUCCUUUGUACUAUUGUUUUUGUGUCAUGAACUUCUACUCAUGAGUACUAUAGAGUGUAGGAGUUUGAGACAAAGCAUCAUUCAGCCACCAAACACUUCCCCAAACAAAAUAGUUAUAAGCUUUGCAACAAGCACAACAAAAGUUUCCGUUGCAAAAACAAGCAAUGUUUACCACCGUAGCCAUAGAAGUUUGGAAGGUGAUGCUGAAGCUUUUAGGCCCACAACUCCUGGACACAGUCCCGGAAUUGGUCAUUAAUUUCCAUUAUAAUUAAUAAUUAAUUAUCAAUUAGUAACAUGCCAAAGAAAAUGAUGAAAAGAUCGACCAUCCAAAAAUUAUUGCUAUGUAGUGUGUGUGAGCUCUAGCUAAUGCUAUAUGUUAUUUACUAAAUUAAUUAGUUAUCCUUAAUUUCCUUAUGUUUUUAUUUUGUACAUGCAUGCAUGUUUGAUGCAUGCAUUAUUUUAGUUUGUCAUAAGUUUUCUGUGUUGUAUUAUGAUUGAUUAGCAUAUGUUUAUUAUAUU